rnacentral:rRNA from 1 species
UUGGAGGGCAAGUCUGGUGCCAGCAGCCGCGGUAAUUCCAGCUCCAAUAGCGUAUAUUAAAGUUGUUGCAGUUAAAAAGCUCGUAGUUGAACCUCGGGAUCAAUGGGUCGGUCAUGCCCUCGGUAUGUACUGACCUCAUUGGUUCUCACCUUCUAAGGAACCUUAACGUCAUUAAUUUGAUGUUUUGGGGAAUUAGGACUGUUACCUUGAAAAAAUUAGAGUGUUUAAAGCAGGCUAACGCUUGAAUACAUUAGCAUGGAAUAAUGAAAUAGGACAUCGCAUUCUAUUUUGUUGGUUUCUAGGAUCGAUGUAAUGAUUAAUAGGGAUAGUUGGGGGCAUUAGUAUUCAAUUGUCAGAGGUGAAAUUCUUGGAUUUAUUGAAGACUAACUACUGCGAAAGCAUUUGCCAAGGAUGUUUUCAUUAAUCAAGAACGAAAGUUAGGGGAUCGAAGACGAUCAGAUACCGUCGUAGUCUUAACCAUAAACUAUGCCGACUAGGGAUCGGAUGAUGUUGAUUUUUUAAUGACUCAUUCGGCGCCUUACGGGAAAC